UACGGGGGGGGCAAGCGUUGUUCGGAAUUACUGGGCGUAAAGGGCUCGUAGGUGGCCAACUAAGUCAUACGUGAAAUCCCUCAGCUUAACUGGGGAACUGCGUCUGAUACUGGAUGGCUUGAGUUUGGGAGAGGGAUGCGGAAUUCCAGGUGUAGCGGUGAAAUGCGUAGAUAUCUGGAGGAACACCGGUGGCGAAGGCGGCAUCCUGGACCAAUACUGACACUGAGGAGCGAAAGCUAGGGGAGCAAACGGG
rnacentral:rRNA from 1 species